UAUGAGUGGUGGUGCAUGGCCGUUCUUAGUUGGUGGAGUGAUUUGUCUGGUUAAUUCCGUUAACGAACGAGACCUUAGCCUACUAACUAGUCGCGACAAUGCCAUUGUCUGCGACUUCUUAGAGGGACUUUGCAAGCAACUGCAAGGAAGUUUGAGGCAAUAACAGGUCUGUGAUGCCCUUAGAUGUCCUGGGCCGCACGCGUGCUACACUGACACAUACAGCGAGUAUCACCAGCUCCGUGAGGCAGCUGGUAACCAGUAAUAUGUGUCGUGCUGGGGAUAGAUCUUUGGAAUUUUUGAUCUUGAACGAGGAAUGCCUAGUAAGCGCAGGUCAUCAGCCUGCGUUGAUUAAGUCCCUGCCCUUUGUACACACCGCCCGUCGCUCCUACCGAUUUCGAGUGGUCCGGUGAACCCCUUUGGACCGAGGGCGCCCUUCGUGCGCCCUUUUGGGAGAAGUCGGAGGAAAACCACAUCACUAGAGGAAGAAAAGUCGAGACAGU
rnacentral:rRNA from 1 species